AAAGAAUUGUUCUGAAAGCAACUUUUUCCGACACGAAGGAAGUGAAAGCGGACACCUACGAAGAUGGCAUCUCAGAGCGAGCUGAUCAAGGGGUCAAAAAUGUAGACAUUGCCAGAUGUUCACUGUCCGAGAAACAGGCUGUGGAAGAAUUAUUGCUGGCAAAAGUGUCCAUAACCAGAGGUUAUAUCAGCUGUUUUGGUGAACCCCUCCCGCAUCUGAACUGGCUGACACAGAGAGCACAGCAUAAAGUACUCUGUAGCCACUUAGUGUGGACACCAGGUGAGACCACACACACACACACACACAAUAACAGUCUCUCUUCUUCACUUCAUCCCUCUCCCCCUUCUCCCUAAAUCCUCUAGGUUAUAUCAGCUGUUUUGGUGAACCCCUCCCGCAUCUGAACUGGCUGACACAGAGGACACAGCAUGAACGGGUCAACAGGAAAAUAUUAUUAAAGAGAUGCUUUACAUUGAAAUACAGACAGAGAUGUAGUAGUACCAGAGUUAAUGAUCCAAGGUCUGUUUUGCAAUUCAAGAGAGAGAAUAUUAGAGUAGCGCUGUAAUUCAUGAAUCAUAUGCUGUCUGCCGCUGUUCUUACCUCUUUCCCUCUCUGUCUUCUGCACCUCUCUCCCCACCUCAUCUCUUUCUUCCUCAUUUCAUAAUGCACGUCAUAUGUGCAUUGAAGUACAGAUUGACUUGUAUUUAUAAUAUUACAAUGAUGAUAAUUAUAAUGGAUUUAUGUAUUUAUAACACCUGGAUAAUGAACUUCUUUCAAUAAAGUGU